GGCCCCAUGGUGUAGUGUUAUGCAUUGCUGCAAACGAUGAUUUGUGUACCUCGUCAACUGGGAUGCAGCAGGCGUGGGUUCAAAUCCUACUGGGGACA